GGGAACGUAGCUCAAUCGGUAGAGCAGCACCCUUUUAAGGUGAUGGUCCUGGGUUCGAUUCCCAGCGUUCCCACCA
rnacentral:tRNA from 1 species